rnacentral:rRNA from 1 species
GUAGUGGCGAACGAAAAGGGAGAAGCCCAGCGCAUAACCUCUCGGGCCACCCGGCCUGCAGCGGAAUUUUGCGUAAAGGGAACGAUCAUGCAUUCGUGCUCACGCACGGGUGUCUGCCCAAUGGCACAUAGCACUCGACCUAAGUCCAGGGGUGAAACUCUGCCGAGUAACCAGUUUGCUCUACUUCUCCAUGGAGGGUGAAAGACCCGUGUGGCGAGUGCAUAGUGUCUGGGUUUGAUUGUUUUCCCUGAGAGUCGCGUUGCUUGAGCAUGCAGCGCAAAGCAGGACGUAGACUCGUCCUAAGGCUAAAUAUUUCCACAGAACCGAUAGCGAACAAGUACCGUGAGGGAAAGUUGAAAAGGACUCUGAAGAGAGAGUUAAAAGACCGUGAAACCGUACAGGGCAGAGACUGAUGGAUUUGGCUUUCCGGUGGCAAUGAGAGGGAUGCUUGAUGCACCUGUGGUGCCGUCCCUCUCUGUGUGAGGUUGGCUUAUAUGGAAGACAGUGGAAGUGGUCAGUGAGACGAAAGUUUUAUCUUGGCUUGUGACGGUAGUAACACACUAAUGAUGCCAAACGCACGGGGUUUAGGUGUCGGAUGAUGGGUAUGUUAGCUUGCAUGAUUCGCUCUGCAUUCUUAAAUACCUUGAGGCAGUCUUGAGUGCGCAUCCACUUAGAGAUCCACUUACCGUAGCCACCGGAAUGCACCAACGCUUUACGAGGUCAGGGUGCCACGGCUCUCCGAGUCGUGUUGUCUGAGAGUUUCAUGUCUCGUUCUGUAAGGCAGUGAGGUCAUUUCAUUGUGACCCAUCACGCUGGCGUAACUGUUUGGGAAUCAUGAAGGAGCGUGCGUGUGUUGCUUCCUCACCCAGCAACACACAUCGUAACGCUCCGCAGGACUGGUGUUUGGGUGAACUCAUUCGAACGUCGGUGAUGCGGCACGCUCAUUCCUAAUUUUGUGUGCGUCAUACACCCGAGGCAGUCGCAAGAUUGCUUCGAGGCGACACGAAUUCCACGGACUUGCGUGCUUUAGCUGCCUAUUUGUUUGGUCUGUUCUGAAGCCCCGCCUGGUUCUUCAUGCCUCGAACCUGUCAGUGUAUUCAUUGCUGAGGCAUGUGUCAGUCUCUCGGCGCACUUUUCUGAAAUGUGUGAUCCUCAUGUGAAGGUUGUGAUCUGUGCGAGUUCAGAGACGCGCGUUCCUCUUUCGGGAGGGGCGUGCCAGUGUCUGUUCGCUGGUGCAUAUCAAUGGCUUGAAUCCAUCAGUCACGUCUCGAAACACGGGCCAAGGAGCAUAGCAUGUGCGCAAGUCUAAGGGUCAUACAAAACCUGCAGGCGAAGUGAAAGCGAUCUGGUGUGUGAUCUUGACAGUUAGUGGACCUGUUGUUGUGUGGGCGUGUGUGUUAACGCAUGCGCGUUCGUGCCACAGCAGAAUCCCGUACCCUCUUGCUCGUCACAGCCAGGGCGGGAUGCAUCAUAUCCCGUUCACGGUGGUCUCGGUAAAACGUGGCUUCCGUGUGCUGGUGUUGAAUAUGGCAUGUUGCCGCUUAAACAGAGUUGAUCCUGUAUCACGUUCCGUAUUGUGCGGGUUUUGCGGUGCGAAAGCACUGUCAGCGUGAGAAGGGCGCAAACUCCACGCCAUCCAAAGUAAUGUGCCUUGGCCUUCACGGGCCUUGGUGCGUGUGUGAUGGCAGUGUGGAGCGUGCAUGCUAUUACCCGAAAGAUAGUGAACUAUGCUUGGCGAGGGUGAAGCCCCAGGAAACUGGGGUGAAGGC